rnacentral:rRNA from 1 species
CCUACGGGGUGCAGCAGUGGGGAAUAUUGGACAAUGGGCGAAAGCCUGAUCCAGCCAUGCCGCGUGUGUGAAGAAGGCCUUCGGGUUGUAAAGCACUUUCAGUGGGGAAGAAAGCCUUGGGGCUAAUACCCUCGAGGAAGGACAUCACCCACAGAAGAAGCACCGGCUAACUCCGUGCCAGCAGCCGCGGUAAUACGGAGGGUGCGAGCGUUAAUCGGAAUUACUGGGCGUAAAGCGCGCGUAGGCGGUCUGAUAAGCCGGUUGUGAAAGCCCCGGGCUCAACCUGGGAACGGCAUCCGGAACUGUCAGGCUAGGGUGCAGGAGAGGAAGGUAGAAUUCCCGGUGUAGCGGUGAAAUGCGUAGAGAUCGGGAGGAAUACCAGUGGCGAAGGCGGCCUUCUGGACUGACACUGACGCUGAGGUGCGAAAGCGUGGGUAGCAAACAGGAUUAGAACCCGAGUAGUC